rnacentral:rRNA from 1 species
CCCUUAGAGUUUGAUCCUGGCUCAGGAUGAACGCUGGCGGCGUGCUUAACACAUGCAAGUCGAGCGAAGCAAUUUAAGUGAAGUUUUCGGAUGGAUCUUAGAUUGACUGAGCGGCGGACGGGUGAGUAACGCGUGGAUAACCUGCCUCACACAGGGGGAUAACAGUUAGAAAUGACUGCUAAUACCGCAUAAGCGCACAGUACCGCAUGGUACAGUGUGAAAAACUCCGGUGGUGUGAGAUGGAUCCGCGUCUGAUUAGGUAGUUGGUGGGGUAACGGCCCACCAAGCCGACGAUCAGUAGCCGACCUGAGAGGGUGACCGGCCACAUUGGGACUGAGACACGGCCCAAACUCCUACGGGAGGCAGCAGUGGGGAAUAUUGCACAAUGGGCGAAAGCCUGAUGCAGCGACGCCGCGUGAGUGAAGAAGUAUCUCGGUAUGUAAAGCUCUAUCAGCAGGGAAGA